rnacentral:tRNA from 1 species
ACGUUAUUAGUAUAUUUAUUAUACUGCUUUUCCAAAGCAGUGAUCUAGAUUAUCUAGAUAACGUA